UGCUGAAUUAGAGAUCGGCGCCGCGUUUUAUGAACUUAAUGCUUUUAGGAGCGCACAAUGUCUCUAAGCACUGAAGCUGUUGCAAAAAUCGUUGCUGAAUUUGGCCGUGAUGA
rnacentral:ncRNA from 1 species